ACCAUCAAAUUGCUUGAUCAAAUAUGUUGAUACACUAGUGUGCUUUAUGAUACAGUAAUAUACAUGAAAUUACUGUAAAUACACAUACAUGCGAAAACUGCAUAGCCAAAUGCUAAAACAGAAAAGGAAAACAUUAGAAAAAAUGGUCCUGGGCCGAAUCUGCACAGCCCAAACCAGUGGGCACAACGCACAUGUUUUUUCUUCGUUCUCGCUUCCUUUUUUUUUUGACAGAGAUGGGCCUUUGGCCGGCCCACGGGUGCGCACCGCCCCAGAGAUCGGAUAAGGGAGAGGCGACGGGGCGGCUUCCGAUCCCAUCGACCAACCGCCCCCAAUCUCCUUGUCCAAACGGCGGCCUCGGCCGCCUCCCGGCCAUCCGCCGUCGUCGCUGGACAGAGGGUCCCGGCGCGCCGUACUUCUCCUCUGAAGAAGAAUUUAUCUCGCUGCCGCGCAAGGAAACUGCCUGACGCUUGCCUCGACGAUCAGCGGCACGCCGACGCCGUGCGCCGUCGCGCCGUUCGACUGCUGCUACCGAAGCUGCGCGCCCGCGCAGGAAUGCCUCACUGGGCCCCGACGGUUGUGCCGAGGGCCGCAACGCGGGCUGGGCGCCGCCUACGCGCGCUAUGCACGCGGUGCCGCCACGGUCGCUUAUGCGGGGCUGCAUGAUCUUCUUUGGCAUGGAGAUGGAGGGGCUGGUGCGUCGCCGCCCUUUGUGUGGAGAGCGCCGACAAGAGGCAUCUCCUCCCCUCUAUAAUCUUGGGCGUGGACUCACGACCGCUGCUGAUGCCGAAGGUACCAUCGGCCAUGUUCAUGUCGUGGAUGGCCGUUGUCGACGCUGAAGGUGCCAUACGCUUUCUCCCGUGCCGAUGCAUGCAUGUCUUCUCUUUCUGUUGCAUGUCGCCAUGUGCAGGGCCGCGUGAGCCGCCGCCGGUCCUCAAGAAGGGGGCGAGGUCCACGCCGUUGCGUCGCCCAUGAGCACUGCGGGUACGGCGCAGACGCCGUCGCCGCCGUGACUGAUGUCGCCAUCCGCACCGGGGCUUGAUGCUUCACUCCGCCGCACCGUAUAGCGCCGCUUGAGCGUAGCGCCGGCACAGCCGGGGAUCCGCGAGGCAUCGCUGUUCUCUCUGGCCUAAUCGCUCUCCGUUAGGCAAAGUGCUGAUAACGUGAUGUGAAACAAGGAAGACAAAUGAAUCUCUAUCUCUUUCAUCGAUGAUCUCUGUACAUUAUAUAUCCCUGAAAGGACGCGUUCGGGAGGGAGCGAGGAGAGACGCGACAGUUAGAAAAGGCUAACCGCCUGUCGGUUUACAAGGUGGGGAUUAUCCAUAAUUAAUUAUAUCUAAUUAAUUCUUAACAGUGUGAACUGUGUGAUAUGGUAAGUAUUGUGAGGAGAAAUGCCAUUUACUAUCCUUCAGCUGUUUCAAAAGUCGAAGUUUGCUAUUUCAACUUUCAAAAGCAGACAAUUUUGAUCCUUCAUACAUCAAAACUAUCUAGCUUUGAUUUACAUGCAUCACUAAAAAUACUCCCUCCGUUCCGAAAUAUUUGUCUUUCUAGCCAUCUCUGUAGACAUGUUUUAGAGUGUAGAUUCACUCAUUUUGCUCCGUAUGUAGUCACUUGUUGAAAUCUCUAGAAAGACAAUUAUUUAGGAACGGAGGGAGUAGUUUUGAAUGAUGGCAUGACAACACUUCUCGCACACAACAGCCUGGUGAAUAAAAUAUCAUAGUAGUAAAACCAAAUAUUGAAAUUGAAGUUCAUUAAUAUUCUAGCGAAGUGAUAAAAAAAUCCAUAAGUUCCCAAUUUUAUUAGAUUCAGAAAUCUUGUAAAAUCAUAUAGAGCUAUAUAACUGUUCAUUGUUUCUUCUUUUAAAAGUCUCAUAAUAUAUAGUAUCAGUUCUAAAAUAUGCCUAAAUUUUUAAAUAAUCAAAAUUUCCCAAAUUACUCAUGUGCUUCUUUUUAUUGCAAAUUUCUUGACUAGAUUUCCACGUGUGCCAAAACUGGUACAGAUCACUGUCAAGACCGCCUUUAUUACCGUAAAAAAGUCCAUGUGAAUUGUAUGAUAUGGUUAGUAUUGUUAUAAGGAUAGAUGAUAGAAAAACGGACAUUUUUAUCCUUCAUGUAUUAAAACCGUCUAGAUAUGGUUCCUCACCACCCAAAGAGUAGUUUUUAAUGAGAAAAUGGCAACGCUUCUCAUACAUUGUAGUCUAGAGUAAACAAACAUAUUAGUAAAACCAAAUACAACAAUGGUGAAAGUUCAUAGAUAUUCUAGAGAAGCUAUCAAAACUUUAUCUGAAUUUCCGAUUGCAUAAAAACCUUCUAGUAAAUUCAUGGUGUGAUCUAACCUUUUGUUGUUCCUUCUUUUUUAAAUCACAAAAUAUUAGUUCCAUUUUAGAAAUAUGUCCAACUUAUCUAGAUUAUAUACCUUUCUUUUACUUUUUUUUUAUAGAUUUCUUACAAUAUUCAUGCGUAUUUGCUUUUUAUUACAUAAUUGCUGACUUGACUUCCGCACCUACAAAACCUGCCGUAGUUUGGUUAAGACCAUCUCUAGCUGGUGCUUCAAAAAAAAAAGACCAUCUCCAGCAUGGCGAGAAAAGUAUUUGUGAAUUGUAUGAUAUGGUUAGUAUUCUUAUUAGGAUCCAUUUGUUGUUUCCAAAGUCGAGGUUUGGUAUUUCAACUUGAAAACCAACAUUCUUCACUCCUCAUGUAUUAAAAAUGUAUAGCUCUGGACCUUCGGUUCCUCACCUCACCAAAAAAAGAAUUUAAUGACCCUAUGAUGGGACUUCUCACACAUUUCCAGGUGAGUAAAAAUAAUAUUAAAACCAAACCCAUAUAUGUAUAAGUACAUUAGUAUCAUAUAGAAGUCUUAAACAAAAUUUAUGAAUUCUAAAUUGCAUAAAAUCCAGAAACAUUCAUAUAAAAGCAUGUGCUACCUGGCUUGUAGUUGUUUAGAAUUUAAAAACCCUCACAAUUGAAGUGCAAUUUUUAAACCAUGCAUGCAUUUUUCUAGUUUUUUCUAAACAUACUCUAAAGCUCCAAUGAAACUAUGGGCUUUUCUGUUCGUAUUCGUACUUACAAGAUUGUUGGCAUUACUUUCACGUGUGCAAAAUCACAAAGGGUGAUAGUUACGACCGCCUUUAUUACAUCAAUAUAAGGAAUCUAAUUAUUCUGGCACUCGAGGAACCAAGGCCUUGUCCAGAAGUUGAGGUACCAAAUUGACAUUUUAGUUUUUCAGGGGUGAUUUACAUUUUAGUAAUGUUGGAUAAAGCAAGAAUGCCAGUUUUCCUUUGUAAAAUCAAAGAGCUAUAUAAUUGUUCACUGUUUCUUCUUUUUAAAAUCUCAUAAUUUAUAGUACCAGUUUUGAAAUAUGCCCGACUUAUUUAUAUAAACUUUUAAAUAAUCAAAAUUUCCCAAAUUACUCAUGUGCUUCUUCUUAUUGCAAAUUUCUUGACUAGAUUUCCACGGGUACCAAAAAUGGUGCGGAUGUUUGUUAAGAUUGUCUUUAUUACCGUAACAAAAUCCAUGUGAUCUAUGAUAUGGUUAGUAUUGUUGUAAAGAUAGAUGUUAGAAAAACAGACAUCCUUUUAUUCUUCAUGUAUUAAAACCAUCUAGAUUUGGUUCCUCACCACCCAAAAGGUAGUUUUUAAUGAGAACAUGACAAUGCUUCUCACACAUUGUAGUCUAGUGAGUAAAAAAACAUAUUAGUAAAACCAAAUACAACAAUGGUGAAAGUUCAUAGAUAUUCUAGAGAAGCUACCAAACUUUCUCUGGAUUUUCGAUUGCAUAAAAAAACUUCUAGUAAACUCAUGGUGUGAUCAAACUUUUUGUUGUUCCUUCUUUUUGAAAUCUCAAAAUCUUAGUGCCAUUUUAGAAAUAUGUCCAACUUAUCUAGAUUAUAUACCUUUUCUUUUUACCUUUUUUUAUAGAUUUCUUACAAUAUUCACGGGUAUUUGUUUUUAAUUACAUAACUGUUGACUUGACUUCCGCACAUGCAGAACAUGUCGUAGUUUGGUUAAGACUGUCUCUAGCAUGGCAAGAAAGGUAUUUGUGAAUUGUAUGAUAUGGUUAGUAUUCUUAUUUGGAUCCUUUUAUUGUUUCAAAAGCCGAGGUUUUGUAUUUCACUAGGACCCUGCUACAGCAACGCAUUUUUCCGUAUCUAAAUGUCCAUAUAUGCGUUGUUAGUACCUUUACCAACGGUUUGGAAUGCGUAGCGUUAUCCAGUGUUGCUAGCGCAUAAUGCAACACUUAUACUGCCGUCGGUAAAAGGGACCAUUGCAAGACUACAACAGAUAAAACAGACUUUUCCAACAUUUUUAUACGUUGGUGCUUAAUGAUUAGGAAUCAAAAUCCCAUUGCUUGGCAACGAAGAAUUUCCAACGCUUCAAGUGUUGGUACAUAUAUAGUGUGAAUAAUAAUAAUAUUAUUGUAUAGAUAUUGCUAGCAAUUAAAUUAAUGCUCCAUGUAAAGGUGAUAAUUAUGUAUUAGAAGUGAUGGAAAAACAAGAGAAUAUAUUCACGAGAGGAAGAAAUCAUAUAUUUGAUAAAACUGUUGGAUUACAAUAGUGGAUAUUACAGGAGGAACAUCAUCGAAAUGUGAUGCAUAAUCUAACUAUUUUCUUGCCAGCAAAACUUAAAUUGAAAAUAUCCAUCAACAUCCCUACAACUUAAACUAAAACUUAACCGAGGAAUAACAGCCAAUAUGAACGUCAUUCCUACAAACAUAACUAAAAUUGAAAGCAUGGAUCAUCAUCAUGAAACGGGACAUCAACAUCAUCAUCGCAGUAUACUUGCCAGGCACCCAUAUACUCAUCCAUUUAUCUUUUGAAUCUACAAAAAAGAAAACAAAAUGAACUGUUAACACAAAACAUUGACAUGAUGCAAGUAGUAAUAGAGGCAAGAUAUUAGUCAUCUACAAAGGUUGAAAGCCAUGCAAUCUUUGUUUUUUAUGCAUUACUGAGCGUAUUCACUUUUUGCGACUCCGUACCAAAUUUUCAAUUUUCACAAGUGUCAUAUCGACAUGCACUGCCUAGAAUUCAUUUCUAAUUUUGGCACCAUCAAAUUUAAAUUUAGGAUCAAAACUUACAAUUGUAGCAAGGGCUACGUCCCUGUUAUGAUUUUUCAGGCUCUUCAAGAAUACUUCAGUUCCUGCCUGUUAAAGAAAAUCAAAGUUACCAUAUGAAAAAACAAAAACAAAACAGGGGACAUAUUAAAUGAAUUUGAGCACUCUUACAUGUAGUUGACUGGCAACCAACGAACUCAGAGAACCACUUUGAGCACUCUUACUCCCUGCAUUAGCACCUUUUGUUGUUUUUUUGGUCUAGAUGGGCAACAAUCUGACAGCAAAGAAGAAGUGAUAAACAAAUAACCAAGCUAGUACUAUAGUUUGAACAAAAAUUUGUAUGUGAUUAUGAAAAGAUACAGCUUGUUUGUAGUAUAAGUUUUUUCUCUCUAACGUGCACUAAUAUUCUCAACCAAAGUUUCUUAGAUACAUAACCACCUGAGCAAUAUAUUUUGAACAUAUUGUGUAUGGUAAAAGAAAUAUACCUUAUGUGCAACAAAACUUAUUUCCCUUUGUCGUGCACUGAAAUUCUGAUCAGAAGUUUCUUGGUUCUGGACAACAUUCUGAUAGCAACAAGUAAACACAUAAACAUGGGAGCACUAUAGUUUGAUCAUAAUUUUGUAUAUGAGAUUAUGAAGAUACCUUGUGUGCAGCAGAACAUUUUUCUAGUUGUCGUGCACUGCCACCAUUAUGAACCAUAGUUUCUUUGUUCUAGGAUAAAAUGACACACAUCGAGUUUUGAAUAUUGUAUAUGUAAUUGCAAAAAGGGGAUGGUUCUCAUGAUCAUUGGAUCAGAUCUACUUCUCCUAUAACCUGUUUGGGCCCUAAGAAUUUCAUACAAAAGGAAACAUAUACUCACUCCUGCUAGAUGUGCGGUUUCCUGAAAAACAGACAUGAAAAUCCUGCAUUCAAAAUAGGGCAAAAUCCAGACAAGUUUGAUCCUGAAUCUUGUAAGGAAGCUUAUACCUGUUACCAGUUCUGGAUAUUGUAUAUGUAAUUGCAAAAAGGGGACGGUUCUCAUGAUCAUUGCAUUAGAUCUACUUCUCCUAUAACCUAUUUGGACCCUAAGAAUUUCAUACAAAAGGAAACAUAUACUCACUCCUGCUGGAUGUGCGGUUUCCUGAAAAACAGACAUGAAAACCUGCAUACAAAAUAGGACAAAAUCCAGACAAGUUUGAUCUUGAAUCUUGUAAGGAAGCUUAUACCUGUAACUAGUUACAGCAAACUCUCUGUAGCAACUCACGUUCAUCGUAUGUCACAAUAGGGCAAAAUGACACAGAUCAAGUUUUGGAUAGUGUAUAUGUAAUUGCAAAAACGGGAUGGUUCUCAUGAUCAUUGCAUCAGAUGUACUUCAUGUCCAUCGAUUGACCAUGUCUCCAUCAUGCUGCACGGCACUAUAAGUACAUGUGCUGCAAGAGCUCAGAACCAACCACGAGUUCUCGAGCAGUACUUUAGGCCCUCUUUGAUUUGUAGGACUCUCAAAACUCAGGAAUAGAAAAAAUAAAAGAUUGGAGUUGCAUGCCCACUUGAAUCCCAUAGGAUUAGCACAAAGUGUUUGAUGCCACAGGAAAACAAAGGAAGUGAAAAAAGAUGUUGGAGUGGAUGCUAGAUUUCCAAUGAAAUCUAGUACACAUGAUUCCAUAGAAAAAAAUUCUCAUAGGAUUCAAUUCUAUGAAUCAAGCGACCAAUGUAGGAAAAAUCCUAAGGAUUCUUCCUCGAAACAGGCUUUCGCCCCACUUUAUAUAUAAAGCAACAACCAAACACAGUACAAGGUGAUGGGGUAGCCCUCUGAUACGUCUCCAACGUAUCUAUAAUUUUUUAUUGUUCCAUGCUAUUAUAUUAUCUGUUUUGGAUGUUUAUGGGCUUUAUUAUACACUUUUAUAUUAUUUUUGGG